UGAUGCUGUCGUCCCAGCUGAAACCCACCGGAUAGGUUAGGCAGUCAACAGGAGUGCCUGAUCAAGCUCUCUCUUCAUGGAAGAGCUUUCCACCGGUCACUUCCAGUUCUGCCCUUCCUCCCCAAACUUUCCAGAUCUUGUGCUAAACAAGGGCUUUAGAGCGAAGGUUUCUCUCGGAGGACUUUGACCGGAGUUGUUUUUCAGGAGUUCAAUGAUUUUGCUCCAGCUGUUUUGUUUCUUGCUUUGCUCAACGUGAGAGAUGGGUGGCUAGCCUGUCCCAGCAAGCAGUGCUUUGAAGAACGUUUUUGAGACUACUUGAAAGAAAUAACUGGAGUCUGAGUCAGGAGAGCCCAUUUCACUCCCAGAGUCUGCCUUUAACAAGCUUUAGGAGCACAUGGCAACUUCCCAACAUGAUGUGCAUUCCAGCCCCACAAAAUGAGACCUUGAGGAAUCAACACAGCCCAAAGGAACCCAAGUGUAAUGCCGUGCUGGGAAGAGAAAGAAAAAGGCCGAGCUAAGGAGACUGUAGAGCCGUGUAAACGCCAGGUUACAGGAGUACACCAGUGCCGGUUACUAAUUGUCGCAAGUAUACCACAUUGACGUAAGACACAAAUAACAGAAUAAAUCUGGAGUGGGAGUGGCCACAAGGUUAGGCUACCUCCCUCAUGUUUUUGUUCCUUUAAAGCUGGGUUUUCUUUUAUUUUGUUCUGUUUUCCUUGAGAAUGGGAAUUAUUCUGGUUUAUUUCUGUUGCUGUCAUAAAUUAAAUGCCAUCUCCUAAAAAAUACUUAGGAGGAGGAAGGGUUUAUUCGGCAUACACUUCAAGUCGGAGGCCAUGGGUGAGCCAGUCAGUCAGGAACUCAAGGAGGGGAGGGAAGGGGAGCAGAAAACACCCGGGAAGGCUGCUUAUUGGUUCGCUCACAGUCACGUGCCCCGCUAGCUUUUUCUAUACCGCCCAGGACCCCCAGCCUUGGAAACGGUUCUUCUCAUAUUGGAUGGGGCCCUCCUACAUCAGUUUCCAAUGGAGAUAUGACUUCUAGAUAUUUCCGUAGGCCAAUUCGAUCUGGCAUGCCUCUCAACUGAUGGUCCUUUCUCAGGUGAUUCUUUCUAUCUUGUUUCAAGUGGAUGAUUAAUAUAUAAAUUUAACUAGCAUUGACGUUUUCUCUGUUGCCUUGAUUCAAAGUUUCAAAAUCCACAGAUGUUACAAUGGUACCUUCUUUGGAGGAUAAUCAAAGUUCCCAAAUAGGUAUGGGCUGUGGUGAAAACACUAUUAAGAUCUCUGUCUGUCUGCCACCCGUAUCCCGUAUCCCUUGAACCUCUACGGCCUGUACUUCUGCAGCUGUUUUGGUCAUAGAGCUGAAGAAAACAUGGCACCUGACCUCCUAUGUUAUCCAGAUCACCUUUUCUCCAGCCAUGGCGCAGGAUGGGCAUUUUGGUCCUAUCAGUGAGACGGCCACUGGGAUUCCCCAACUCAUCUUGGAUCCUUAUCCAGUCUGAGACACACAGGAAGCAGCACACCUGAAACACAGCAAACACUCUCCUUGGCUCAGGAACUGGAGGCUUCAUUUCACGAUUCGUUGGUCAUUGUUGCUUCGGAUGAGGGUGUGGAUAAUCGUAUGGACACGUGGCAGAACAAACCUCUUCAUCUCAUGGCCAGGAAGGGAGAUGGAAGGGAAAGGGCUGGGUUUCCCACUAUCUCCUUGGAGGACACCCAUACAGUGGCCUAAAUGGAUACGUCCCAUUAAGCCCCUCCCCUCUUGAUGAUUCUACUACUUCUCAACAAGACCACCCUGGAGGCCAGGCCUUGAACACAUGAACCUUUUUAGAGGAUCCAAAGUAUACGGUAUUAUUCAACAUGAACAAUUGCAGUUUUCUAUCAAGUUCCGAUUCGUGCUAUGCACUGUUCCCUUGGUAGCUCUGACUACCAGCAAGCAAGGAAAUGGUGAAAUUAGACAGCAGGGACUAUUGUCACGGUGACUCUGGCCUCUGACAUAAAGUGAUCUUUAGUGUGCCCCUGCCUGAGAACCUUCUUGGUACAGUGGUGUUUCUAUCUUGCAAGUCAGUCAUCAAAAUUAUCUAUAGAUGUUUGUCAAGAUUCAAGUUCCCAGUGCCUACAACUUUGAAAAAAUUUAUUGAGUCUGACUGGGGACUUUUAUUCUGAUACUUUAUGAGAACUCCUCAAAAUGACCGACCUGGAUAAUCCUCUGCUUAGACUUCUUGAGUUUGAGCCCUGAUUUUCCCUCUUGCUAGCUGUGUGAUCGAGGUGGGGGAAAUGAUACUUAAUAUCUCUGUAUCUCCAUUUUUUUCCAAAGGUGACAUCAUAAUAUGACUAUGGUUUAUUAAAACUAAAUAUGUACAGAUCUUUCAUAUUAAUCCAGUUAUGUAUUUAAAUAGUGCCUGGCUUCAUUAGGGCCUGCAUGUGAUUAACAUCCUAUGAUAUCAGCUGGUG